rnacentral:rRNA from 1 species
GACGUAGGGCGCGAGCGUUGUCCGGAUUUAUUGGGCGUAAAGAGCUCGUAGGCGGCUUGUCGCGUCGACUGUGAAAUCCCGCGGCUCAACUGCGGGUCUGCAGUCGAUACGGGCAGGCGUAGAGUUCGGUAGGGGGAGACUGGAAUUCCUGGUGUAGCGGUGAAAUGCGCAGAUAUCAGGAGGAACACCGAUGGCGAAGGCAGGUCUCUGGGCCGAUACUGACGCUGAGGAGCGAAAGCGUGGGGAGCGAACAGG